GAACGUAUGGUUUUGUGGUCAGAGUACUUGGACGAUUUCCAAGAAGCGCAAGUUCAAAUCCCGCUACAUUCA
rnacentral:tRNA from 1 species